UGUAAUGUAGCUCAAGUGGUUGAGUAUGUGCCUAGCAAGUGUAAGACUCUGAGUUCAAAUCCCAGUGCUACUA
rnacentral:tRNA from 1 species